rnacentral:rRNA from 1 species
GGGGAAUAUUGCGCAAUGGGCGGAAGCCUGACGCAGCGACGCCGCGUGGGGGAUGACGGCCUUCGGGUUGUAAACCUCUUUCAGCAUCGACGAAGCCUUUUUGGGUGACGGUAGGUGCAGAAGAAGCGCCGGCUAACUACGUGCCAGCAGCCGCGGUAAUACGUAGGGCGCGAGCGUUGUCCGGAAUUAUUGGGCGUAAAGAGCUCGUAGGCGGUUUGUCGCGUCUGUCGUGAAAGCCCACGGCUUAACUGUGGGUCUGCGGUGGAUACGGGCAGACUAGAGGCAGGUAGGGGAGCAUGGAAUUCCCGGUGUAGCGGUGAAAUGCGCAGAUAUCGGGAGGAACACCGGUGGCGAAGGCGGUGCUCUGGGCCUGUUCUGACGCUGAGGAGCGAAAGCGUGGGGAGCGAAC